rnacentral:rRNA from 1 species
GACGAACGCUGGCGGCGUGCUUAACACAUGCAAGUCGAACGGAAAGGCCCUGCUUUUGUGGGGUGCUCGAGUGGCGAACGGGUGAGUAACACGUGAGUAACCUGCCCUUGACUUUGGGAUAACUUCAGGAAACUGGGGCUAAUACCGGAUAGGAGCUCCUGCUGCAUGGUGGGGGUUGGAAAGUUUCGGCGGUUGGGGAUGGACUCGCGGCUUAUCAGCUUGUUGGUGGGGUAGUGGCUUACCAAGGCUUUGACGGGUAGCCGGCCUGAGAGGGUGACCGGCGAAAUUGGGACUGAGAUACGGCCCAGAGUCCAACGGGAGGCAGCAGUGGGGAAUAUUGCACAAUGGGCGGAAGCCUGAUGCAGCAACGCCGCGUGCGGGAUGACGGCCUUCGGGUUGUAAACCGCUUUAGCCUGUGACGAAGCGUGAGUGACGGUAAUGGGUAAAGAAGCACCGGCUAACUACGUG